CGCGGCCUAUCAGCUUGUUGGUGAGGUAACGGCUCACCAAGGCGACGACGGGUAGCCGGCCUGAGAGGGCGACCGGCCACACUGGGACUGAGACACGGCCCAGACUCCUACGGGAGGCAGCAGUGGGGAAUAUUGCACAAUGGGCGAAAGCCUGAUGCAGCGACGCCGCGUGAGGGAUGACGGCCUUCGGGUUGUAAACCUCUUUCAGCAGGGAAGAAGCGAAAGUGACGGUACCUGCAGAAGAAGCGCCGGCUAACUACGUGCCAGCAGCCGCGGUAAUACGUAGGGCGCAAGCGUUGUCCGGAAUUAUUGGGCGUAAAGAGCUCGUAGGCGGCUUGUCACGUCGGGUGUGAAAGCCCGGGGCUUAACCCCGGGUCUGCAUCCGAUACGGGCAGGCUAGAGUGUGGUAGGGGAGAUCGGAAUUCCUGGUGUAGCGGUGAAAUGCGCAGAUAUCAGGAGGAACACCGGUGGCGAAGGCGGAUCUCUGGGCCAUUACUGACGCUGAGGAGCGAAAGCGUGGGGAGCGAACAGGAUUAGAUACCCUGGUAGUCCACGCCGUAAACGUUGGGAACUAGGUGUUGGCGACAUUCCACGUCGUCGGUGCCGCAGCUAACGCAUUAAGUUCCCCGCCUGGGGAGUACGG
rnacentral:rRNA from 1 species